rnacentral:rRNA from 1 species
AUUGAACGCUGGCGGCAGGCCUAACACAUGCAAGUCGAACGGUAACAGGAAGACGCUUGCUUCUUUGCUGACGAGUGGCGGACGGGUGAGUAAUGUCUGGGCAACUUCCUGAUGGAGGGGGAUAACUACUGGAAACGGUAGCUAAUACCGCAUAACGUCGCAAGCCCAACGUGGGGGACCUUCGGGCCUCUUGCUCUCGGCUGUGCCCAGAUGGGAUUUGCUAGUAGGUGGGGUAACGGCUCACCUAGGCGACCAUCCCUAGCUGGUCUGCGAGGAGGACCAGCCACACUGGAACGGAGACACGGUCCAGACUCCUCCGGGAGGCAGCAGUGGGGAAUAUUGCACAAUGGGCGCAAGCCUGAUGCAGCCAUGCCGCGUGGAUGAAGAGGGCCUUCGGGUUGUAAAGUACGUUCAGCGGGGAGGAAGGGAGUAAAGUUAAUACCUUCGCUCAUUGGCGUUACCCGCAGAAGAAGCACCGGCUAACUCCGUG